rnacentral:rRNA from 1 species
CCUGGCUCAGGAUGAACGCUGGCGGCGUGCCUAAUACAUGCAAGUCGAGCGAAUCUGAGGGAGCUUGCUCCCAAAGAUUAGCGGCGGACGGGUGAGUAACACGUGGGCAACCUGCCUGUAAGACUGGGAUAACUUCGGGAAACCGGAGCUAAUACCGGAUAAUCCCUUUCCUCACAUGAGGAAAGGCUGAAAGACGGUUUCGGCUGUCACUUACAGAUGGGCCCGCGGCGCAUUAGCUAGUUGGUGAGGUAACGGCUCACCAAGGCCACGAUGCGUAGCCGACCUGAGAGGGUGAUCGGCCACACUGGGACUGAGACACGGCCCAGACUCCUACGGGAGGCAGCAGUAGGGAAUCUUCCGCAAUGGACGAAAGUCUGACGGAGCAACGCCGCGUGAGUGAUGAAGGUUUUCGGAUCGUAAAACUCUGUUGUUAGGGAAGAACAAGUAUCGGAGUAACUGCCGGUACCUUGACGGUACCUAACCAGAAAGCCACGGCUAACUACGUGCCAGCAGCCGCGGUAAUACGUAGGUGGCAAGCGUUGUCCGGAAUUAUUGGGCGUAAAGCGCGCGCAGGUGGUUCCUUAAGUCUGAUGUGAAAGCCCACGGCUCAACCGUG